UGGGGGACAUUGCACAAUGGAGGAAACUCUGAUGCAGCGACGCCGCGUGAGGGAAGAAGGUCUUCGGAUUGUAAACCUCUGUCUUUGGGGGCGAAGAAAGUGACGGUACCCAAAGAGGAAGCCACGGCUAACUACGUGCCAGCAGCCGCGGUAAUACGUAGGUGGCGAGCGUUGUCCGGAAUUACUGGGUGUAAAGGGUGCGUAGGCGGACUGGCAAGUUGGAUGUGAAAUCUCCGCGCUUAACGUGGAGGUUGCAUUCAAAACUGUUGGUCUUGAGUGAGGCAGAGGCAGGCGGAAUUCCCGGUGUAGCGGUGAAAUGCGUAGAGAUCGGGAGGAACACCAGUGGCGAAGGCGGCCUGCUGGGCCUUAACUGACGCUGAGGCACGAAAGCAUGGGUAGCAAACA
rnacentral:rRNA from 1 species